GCCGGGCCGGGCCGGGCCGGGCCGCGGAGCGGAGUCAGCCGCGUGUGGCCGAGGGCAGAGCGCGGCCCCGCAGCGCAGCUGGAGUUUGAUCUCUGCUCCCUGUAAUCUCCCGUAACUGAAAAUUCACUUUUUCCGCCUGCCGGCUGCUUUCUCUUUUGCCUUGCCAUUCGGCAGGCAGCUCCGCUCUGCGCUGGGUGCUUUGGCUGGUUCGCCUCACGUCAGGCUGUGUCCUGCUGUGACAGGAGUAAAGGCUUUUCUGACAAGGUUCUUAGCAGUAACGGAGAAUGAAAUCUGAGGUAUUUUUAUUGUAAUGGAACUUGUAAUUGCUCUCUGUGUCUCUGAGUCCUCAGUAGUAGCAGAGGAGAGCUGAAAAACUCUUCAAAAAGUCUUUCAUACACAUGUGAGUGCUAAAAUUUCUCAAUCUUCGAGCUUUCUAAAAAGAACUGCAUUUCUGUCGUGGGUGCUGUUAGCUCUCCUGUGAGUAGAAAAGCUGGAAUUAGUGAGAAAUGUUGACGAGGAACACAGCCCUGAAUUACCCAUUACAUGCAGCCUUAGCUCUGCUUUCCCAAGUCUGAACAGCCCUUUCAGACUCCUGUGCAACUCAAACUGCCUGGAUGAAAUCUGGUGUGCAGACAGAAAAAUCCAUUCCUGCUAAAACCCAAACCGCUUCUUUUGUACAGAAGAAAAAUGCCUUCGAGGAUGGGAACUGUGAGCCAGCUUUUUCUUGGAUUCCAGCACAUGAUUCCUUCCCAAGGGUGAGGAAGGUGCUGGAAGGUGACAAACUCGUGAGGUGGGAGAGGCAGAUUCCACAGAGGUGUGAGGUUCUCAAAGCUGCUCUGUGCACACUUGAUUUGGUCAAGGGUUCAUUUGUGUCUGAAAAUGACCCUCAACUUGUCCUCCUUGUGGGCAUCUUCUCCCUGACCCCUCUUUGCUCUGCUCUCCCUGAUAACUGUGCCAAAUAUUCCUUUGUUGGUGGCUCCUGGUGAGUGUUAAACUGAGGAAAGGCCCUGGUAUUUCUGCACAGAACCUUUCGCAUGGUCAGAAGGAUUUUGAUCAGUGCAGGGCUCUGUUUUGUGCCAGAAUGGCUUCACAGACAUGGCAAGCAGCUUCUUUGGGUUUGGUUUCAACACCACCGAAGAAUCCAAGUACCAGUGACACAGGAAGUGAUGAAAUGUUGGCUGUGGAAUUCACAUUCUCUGGAAAAAAUUCUUUGCUUAGGAUUUUUCUCCUGGGAAGCUGAGACAUUUCAGAGAAAAAAAGAAAACAAUUAUUAUUUCAUUUGCUUCUCUUCUGUUUUGCUUAUGUGAAAUGUGUUUGGAGAUUGUUUAUUUACCGGUAAUUGUUUUAUUAGUUUCUGGUGUAAGUGUUUUAAUGGUUAAUCAGUGCCAAGCUGUGUCGGGACUCUGGAGAGACUCAGGAGUUUUCAUUAUUAUCUUUUUAGCAUUCAGUAA